UACGGAGGGUGCAAGCGUUAUCCGGAUUCACUGGGUUUAAAGGGUGCGUAGGUGGGCAAGUAAGUCAGUGGUGAAAUCUCCGGGCUUAACCCGGAAACUGCCAUUGAUACUAUUUGUCUUGAAUACUGUGGAGGUCAGCGGAAUAUGUCAUGUAGCGGUGAAAUGCUUAGAUAUGACAUAGAACACCAAUUGCGAAGGCAGCUGGCUACACAAAUAUUGACACUGAGGCACGAAAGCGUGGGGAGUCAAACAGGA
rnacentral:rRNA from 1 species